rnacentral:rRNA from 1 species
CAGUCGAGCGAAUCAAUGGGAGCUUGCUCCCUGAGAUUAGCGGCGGACGGGUGAGUAACACGUGGGUAACCUGCCUGUAAGACUGGGAUAACUUCGGGAAACCGGAGCUAAUACCGGAUACUUUCUUUUCUCGCAUGAGAGAAGAUGGAAAGAUGGUUUCGGCUAUCACUUACAAAUGGACCCGCGGCGCAUUACCUAUUUGGUGAGGUAACGGCUCACCAAGGCAACAAUGCGUACCCAACCUGAAAGGGUGAUCGGCCACCCGGGGACUGAAACACGGCCCAAACUCCUACGGGAGGCAGCAUUAGGGAAUCUUCCGCAAGGGACAAAAGUCUGACGGACCACCGCCGCGUGAGCGAAAAAGGCCUUCGGGUCGUAAAGCUCUGUUGUUAGGGAAAAACAAGUACAAAAGUAACUGCUCGUACCUUGACGGUACCUAACCAAAAAGCCACGGCUAACUACUUGCCACCACCCGCGGUAAUACGUAGGUGGCAAGCGUUGUCCGGAAUUAUUGGGCGUAAAGCGCGCGCAGGCGGUCCUUU